AGAUUGAACGCUGGCGGAAUGCUUUACACAUGCAAGUCGAACGGCAGCACGGGGGCAACCCUGGUGGCGAGUGGCGAACGGGUGAGUAACACAUCGGAACGUGCCCAGUCGUGGGGGAUAACUACGCGAAAGCGUAGCUAAUACCGCAUACGAACUCUGGUUGAAAGCGGGGGAUCGCAAGACCUCGCGCGAUUGGAGCGGCCGAUGGCAGAUUAGGUAGUUGGUGGGGUAAAGGCUCACCAAGCCGACGAUCUGUAGCUGGUCUGAGAGGACGACCAGCCACACUGGGACUGAGACACGGCCCAGACUCCUACGGGAGGCAGCAGUGGGGAAUUUGGACAAUGGACGCAAGUCUGAUCCAGCCAUUCCGCGUGCAGGAUGAAGGCCCUCGGUUGUAAACUGCUUUUUGGACGGAACGAAAAGCCGACUCUCUAAUACGGGCGGUCAUGACGGUACCGUCAGAAUAAGCAACCGGCUAACGUACGUCGACCAGCAGCCG
rnacentral:rRNA from 1 species